GACGAACGCUGGCGGCGUGCUUAACACAUGCAAGUCGAACGGAAAGGCCCUGCUUUUGUGGUGUGCUCGAGUGGCGAACGGGUGAGUAACACGUGAGUAACCUGCCCUUGACUUUGGGAUAACUUCAGGAAACUGGGGCUAAUACCGUAUAGGAGCUCCUGCUGCAUGGUGGGGGUUGGAAAGUUUCCGCGGUUGGGGAUGGACUCGCGGCUUAUCAGCUUGUUGGUGGGGUAGUGGCUUACCAAGGCUUUGGCGGGUAGCCGGCCUGAGAGGGUGACCGGCCACAUUGGGACUGAGAUACGGCCCAGACUCCUCCGGGAGGCAGCAGUGGGGAAUAUUGCACAAUGGGCGGAAGCCUGAUGCAGCAACGCCGCGUGCGGGAUGACGGCCUUCGGGUUGUAAACCGCUUUCGCCUGUGACGAAGCGUGAGUGACGGUAAUGGGUAAAGAAGCACCGGCUAACUACGUG
rnacentral:rRNA from 1 species